rnacentral:lncRNA from 1 species
GAGCGAGGAAACAGGGCCAGAGAAUUGGAACAAAAUACAAGGCUGCCUCUGAAAGGAAUAUCUUUGUGCUGAUGUGUCCAUCAAGAGAACAUACACAGAAGUGACACUUGCCAGUAAUUUGCAAGCAGAUGGAACUUCAAUAUGGCAAUAGAGAAAGAAUCAAUUAGACCAGAGUCUCCUCAGGAAGACUUUCUAUAGAUAUCUGGUGAGCAUCUGCUAGAUGCCAGGGUUGGGGAGAGUCAAGUUGAAGCAAGCAUGAACCCUCAAGGACCUACCAUUUCAAGGCAAGAAAUAGAUACAAAUACAGAAAAUAUUUACUGGAUAGCUACUAGACAUAAGGAUGCAGAAAUGAAUUAGAAAAAUUCCUCGCCCUUGUUCAAAGCUAUGCUGGCUCUUAGAACAUCUGAGCCCCCACUGUUUCAUCUUUAGAGGAUCCCAGCUGCUGGGGUGUGAGGCCAGUGCUGGAGCCAGCAGUCUCUGACCCAGAAGGGACCUGAGGUGCUAAAGAAAAUUCUGGAGGCUGAGAAGUCCAAAACCAAGUCACCAGCAGAUUCAGCGUCUGGGGUACAAGCUGGAAAAGGGGAAAAUGAAUCAUGCUACAGGCCAAGUGUCCAUCACUGAUUCCCAGAGAUGCCCUUUGUGUGGUAGGCACUUCCAUGUGGACUCGCUACAGAGGUCAUAAGACCCUAAUUCCAGAGGGCCCUACCCUAUAACCAGAAGGAAGAACUAUUGCACAGAGAAUCUAAGAAGAAUCUAGACAGACAGCCCUUGCUGGAUUUCUCCACUCUGUUAGCAUUCGAUCAUUUGCCUUUUGUCCAGUCAUAUUUCUGCAUGGCUGUCCAUACUUUGUUGAACCUAAGCACAAAAUGGAAAGUUUUCCCUGUAUCUUUGGGUCGUCAUUCUGAAGGCUCCCAUGUUAUGUAAAACUAUGAUCAAAUAAAUAUGCAUGCCUUUUCUCCUAU